AAGGCUGAGAGGAUUUUAACUGUUUCCUUCAAAAUGUCUACUGUUCCCUCCAAGAUGUCUUUGAAAUAGAGAUCGAGAGAUACAUGUAGUGGUGUGGUAGUCCCCGACCAAUCCCCAUUGCAAUGUAUCAGUGCAGCCCUUGCAAGAUUUUCCUAAUAAAGAUUCUCAGGAUUACAGAUCCUCUAGCAAGGAGACCAGACAGAUAGAAAUGACCAGAGCAGAGGACACACAGCCCCCCCCCCCCCC